GCUCUGUGAUGAGAAUUAGCCAAAUCUGAGCACCAAAAAAAGAUCAGCAGAUCUAUAUAAGGUGCAUGAUCUAGAAUACCAUUCUGGGA